rnacentral:rRNA from 1 species
AACGAACGCUGGCGGCAGGCUUAACACAUGCAAGUCGAGCGCCCCGCAAGGGGAGCGGCAGACGGGUGCGUAACGCGUGGGAACGUACCCUUUGCUACGGAAUAGCUCCGGGAAACUGGAAUUAAUACCGUAUGUGCCCUACGGGGGAAAGAUGUAUCGGCAAAGGAUCGGCCCGCGUUGGAUUAGCUAGGUGGUGGGGUAAUGGCCUACCAAGGCGACGAUCCAUAGCUGGUCUGAGAGGGUGAUCAGCCACAUUGGGUCAGAGACACGGCCCAAACUCCUACGGGAGGCAGCAGUGGGGAAUAUUGGACAAUGGGCGCAAGCCUGAUCCAGCCAUGCCGCGUGAGUGAUGAAGGCCUUAGGGUUGUAAAGCUCUUUCACCGGAGAAGAUAAUGACGGUAUCCGGAGAAGAAGCCCCGGCUAACUUCGUGCCAGCCGCCGCAGUAAGAC